rnacentral:rRNA from 1 species
AUCAAUAAGCGGAGGAAAAGAAACCAACAGGGAUUGCCCUAGUAACGGCGAGUGAAGCGGCAACAGCUCAAAUUUGAAAUCUGGCCUCGGCCCGAGUUGUAAUUUGCAGAGGAUGUUUCUGGCGCGGUGCCUUCCGAGUUCCCUGGAACGGGACGCCACAGAGGGUGAGAGCCCCGUAUGGUUGGACGCUAAGCCUGUGUGAAACUCCUUCGACGAGUCGAGUAGUUUGGGAAUGCUGCUCAAAAUGGGAGGUAAAUCUCUUCUAAAGCUAAAUACCGGCCAGAGACCGAUAGCGCACAAGUAGAGUGAUCGAAAGAUGAAAAGCACCUUGAAAAGGGGGUUAAACAGUACGUGAAAUUGUUGAAAGGGAAGCGCUUGUGACCAGACUUGCGCCGGGCGGCUCAUCCGGGGUUCUCCCCGGUGCACUCCGCCCGGCUCAGGCCAGCAUCGGUUCUCGUUGGGGGAUAAGAACGGCAGGAACGUGGCCCUCCUUCGGGUGGGUGUUAUAGCCUGCCGUACGAUACCCUGACGGGGACCGAGGUUCGCGCUCCGCAAGGAUGCUGGCGUAAUGGUCAUCAGCGACCCGUCUUGAAACACGGACCAAGGAGUCGUCCAUUAGAGCGAGCGUUUGGGUGUCAAACCCGCACGCGUAAUGAAAGUGAAAUUAGGUGAGAGCUUCGGCGCAUCAUCGACCGAUCCUGAUGUUCUCGGAUGGAUUUGAGUAAGAGUUUUAACGGACGGACCCGAAAGACAGUGAACUAUGCUUGUAUAGGGUGAAGCCAGAGGAAACUCUGGUGGAGGCUCGCAGCGGUUCUGACGUGCAAAUCGAUCGUCAAAUAUGAGCAUGGGGGCGAAAGACUAAUCGAACUGUCUAGUAGCUG